CGGUGAGAGCCCGCGAUAUUUAAUUCUGGGUUGAAAAAAAAUGAAUGAUGGACGCGCUGCAGGAAGGUGCAACUGUUACCACAGCCGCUGUUAUACAAUCCAAAACGGUUGCACAGACACAACAAAUACCGCUUUUGCCGAAAAGGGGGGGCAGCUCAGUGGUUUGGCUUCAUUUCGGAUUUAAGCCCUCUGAUACAGAACAAACGCAGCCGAUAUGUAAACUGUGCGAUAAAGUCGUUCCUGCGCCUGAUGCGAAUACUUCCAACCUCUUUUACCACCUGAAGAAAAAUCACGAAGAAGAACACGGAAAACUCCAACUACUCCGAUCAAAACAAACAAGGGAUGGAACUGCAGGAGGCUCUGGAAAGAAAUACAGCCAGCCAAAGCUAAAGGAAGCAUUCGCCAAAGGCACGCAAUAUGAAAAGACGUCUCAGCGACACAAGCAGAUCACAGGUGCCAUUUCACGCUACAUCUGUAAAGGCAUGGCUCCCGUUUAUGUUGAGAUGUCGAGAAAGACAGCUUUCGGGACCUCAUCCACACACUCGAUCCGAGGUACGUGAUGCCCAGUCGGAAGCACUUUAGCAAAGUGGAGUUGCCUAACUUGUAUGCUAGUUGUCGGGCAGAAGUGGAGAGAGAGGUAUGCAGUGCAACGAAAUAUGCCUUGACGACGGACAUGUGGAUGAGCAGAGCAACACAGCCCUAUAUGAGUUUAACGAUCCACUUCAUCAAGGACUGGACCCUCCGCGGCCGCUGUCUACAGACUGUGUACUUUCCUGACGACCAUACGGGAGUGAUACUCGCCCAAGGUCUGAGAGAUGCCUUGGAGUCAUGGGGACUGGAAGAAGGCAAUCUUGUCUGUGUCACCACAGACAAUGCAUCAAAUAACAUCUGUGCCAUGGACCUGAAUGAGUGGGAACGAUUGCAGUGCUUUGGUCACCGUCUACAGCUAGCCAUCGAGAAUUCUCUAAAAAACCUCACCCCAACAUCCACAAGGCAGGCUGUGGAGAGAGCAGUGGGUGUCUGCAAGAGAGUGGUGAGUGCCUUCUCCAACUCUUGGAAGAGGAGAAGGGAACUGGCCAAAGCCCAAGCAGCACUGGGCUUGCCUCACCACCAGUUAAUCACGGAAACACCCACCAGGUGGGGGUCCCGCCAGCAGAUGGUUGCACGGUUCUUGGAGCAGGAGAAAGCCCUUUCACAGGUCCUCCUUGCAGAUAAGAAGUCUGUUGGUUGCAUGUGUUACACCCAAGAAAAAGCCCAAAAAAGGGGAAACGGAGCUCACCAAAGCAGUCAAAGGAGGUGUGCUCAAAUACCUCAAUGAG